rnacentral:rRNA from 1 species
UGAGUAACACGUGGGUGAUCUGCCCUGCACUUCGGGAUAAGCCUGGGAAACUGGGUCUAAUACCGGAUAGGACCACGGGAUGCAUGUCCUGUGGUGGAAAGCUUUUGCGGUGUGGGAUGGGCCCGCGGCCUAUCAGCUUGUUGGUGGGGUGACGGCCUACCAAGGCGACGACGGGUAGCCGGCCUGAGAGGGUGUCCGGCCACACUGGGACUGAGAUACGGCCCAGACUCCUACGGGAGGCAGCAGUGGGGAAUAUUGCACAAUGGGCGCAAGCCUGAUGCAGCGACGCCGCGUGGGGGAUGACGGCCUUCGGGUUGUAAACCUCUUUCACCAUCGACGAAGGUCCGGGUUUUCUCGGAUUGACGGUAGGUGGAGAAGAAGCACCGGCCAACUACGUGCCAGCAGCCGCGGUAAUACGUAGGGUGCGAGCGUUGUCCGGAAUUACUGGGCGUAAAGAGCUCGUAGGUGGUUUGUCGCGUUGUUCGUGAAAUCUCACGGCUUAACUGUGAGCGUGCGGGCGAUACGGGCAGACUGGAGUACUGCAGGGGAGACUGGAAUUCCUGGUGUAGCGGUGGAAUGCGCAGAUAUCAGGAGGAACACCGGUGGCGAAGGCGGGUCUCUGGGCAGUAACUGACGCUGAGGAGCGAAAGCGUGGGGAGCGAACAGGAUUAGAUACCCUGGUAGUCCACGCCGUAAACGGUGGGUACUAGGUGUGGGUUUCCUUCCUUGGGAUCCGUGCCGUAGCUAACGCAUUAAGUACCCCCGCCUGGGGGAGUACGGGCCGCAAGGCUAAAACUCAAAAGGAAUUUGACGGGGGGCCCGCACAA